rnacentral:rRNA from 1 species
UACGAAGGGUGCAAGCGUUACUCGGAAUUACUGGGCGUAAAGGGUGCGUAGGUGGUUGUUUAAGUCUGUUGUGAAAGCCCGGGCUCAACCUGGGAAUGGCAAUGGAUACUGGACAGCUAGAGUGCGGUAGAGGGUAGUGGAAUUCCCGGUGUAGCAGUGAAAUGCGUAGAGAUCGGGAGGAACACCAGUGGCGAAGGCGGCUACCUGGACCAGCACUGACACUGAAGCACGAAAGCGUGGGAGCAAACAGG